UACGAAGGGGGCUAGCGGUGCUCGGAAUGACUGGGCGUAAAGGGCGCGUAGGCGGUUUUGACAGUCAGACGUGAAAUUCCUGGGCUCAACCUGGGGGCUGCGUUUGAUACGUCGGGACUGGAGUGCGGAAGAGGGUCGUGGAAUUCCCAGUGUAGAGGUGAAAUUCGUAGAUAUUGGGAAGAACACCGGUGGCGAAGGCGGCGACCUGGUCCGUGACUGACGCUGAGGCUCGAAAGCGUGGGGAGCAAACAGG
rnacentral:rRNA from 1 species